GAUGAACGCUGGCGGCGUGCCUAACACAUGCAAGUCGAACGGACGCCCGCCUUUAAUACCUUCGUGUCAAUGGGGGGAAGACUGAGUGUCGGACGGGUGAGUAACACGUAUGCAACCUGGCUCACUUAGGGGAAUAACAGAGAGAAAUUUCUGCUAAUACCACAUAAGAACACACUACCUCAUGGCAGAUGUUGAAAAGAGGAUCGCUAUGAGAUGGACGCGCAUCUGAUUAUCCAGUUGUCAGGGUAAGAGCCUACCACAGCGACUAUCAGUAGCCGAGCUGAGAGGAAGAACGGAGACUUUGGGACUGGGACACGGUACAAACUCCUACGGGAGGGAGCAGUGGGGGAUAUUGCAAAAUCGGGGGAACGAUGAUGCAGCGACGAUGGGAGAGUGAAGAAGUAUUUCGGGAUGUAAAGCGCUAUCAGCAGGGAAGAUAAUGACAGUACCUGAACAGGAAGCCACGGCUAACUACGUG
rnacentral:rRNA from 1 species